AUCGCUUCUCGGCCUUUUGGCUAAGAUCAAGUGUAAAAAUGUGCUUAUUAUUUUUGUGUAAUGUUUGUUGCUAAACCCUUUUUUUCAAAAAUAAGGUCUCUGAAUGAGAAAAGGAAGAAUUUUUAAAUAUGAAAAACUCAACUAAA
rnacentral:snRNA from 1 species